GACUGAGGAGGAAGCUGCUCUAGGUAAAGGGAAGCGCCAAAGGAAAGCUGUUUCUUACAGGGAAGCAUAUGCUCCACAACUUGGUGAAACAUUGUAUGAGGGCUUGAAUUGAGGCCGUGAAAGCUUACUCGCAAGCCGAAACGCAUAUAAAUUUUAGCAACCACUGUAAGUAAGGAGAUGGAGUUGCUUUUUGGCAGUUAACCAAGAUGGAGUUGAAGACUUUUUGGUAGUUAAAUGGAACACUUGUUUUGAGUUUUUUUUGGAUAUGGAUGUUUUGUAGUUUCGGUAAUGUUGUUAAGUUUGAAGUGGUUAUUGUUGGAGGAUGAAUGUUUUAAAAGGUUUUGAAGUUGGAUAAUGAAUGUUGACUUAUUGGAUAUUUGAUUUGAAUGAUAUUUUGCUUCUUCGCAAUUUAAGUUUUACUAAGUUGAAUCAUAAGAUACAAAAAAAUCUGAAACGUUGUAAGCAGGUGAAAAUAAUAUAUGGAAUAAAGUGUGUAUUGCUGCUAAAGUCUUAUUUUUGGUGACAAAAGAAGUUGUCACUGUUGUGUGUCUAUUACUACGAUAGGUUAUUGGUGACACACAAUUGGUUGUCAUGGUACGUACUUUUAGUGACAACCUUUGUCAAAGAAAAAUCUCUUUUCUGUGACAACAUGGUGCUGCCAUCGUUACUUUCCGUGACAUAAUUACUUUUGUCGCAGAAAAUCUAUCUUUUGUGACACCAUAUUGU